rnacentral:rRNA from 1 species
AUUGAACGCUGGCGGCAUGCCUUACACAUGCAAGUCGAACGGCAGCGGGGGAGAAGCUUGCUUUUCCUGCCGGCGAGUGGCGAACGGGUGAGUAAUACAUCGGAACGUGCCCUGUAGUGGGGGAUAACUAGUCGAAAGAUUAGCUAAUACCGCAUACGACCUGAGGGUGAAAGUGGGGGACCGCAAGGCCUCAUGCUAUAGGAGCGGCCGAUGUCUGAUUAGCUAGUUGGGGGGGUAAAGGCCUACCAAGGCGACGAUCAGUAGCUGGUCUGAGGACGAUCAGCCCCACUGGGACUGAGACACGGCCCAGAGUCCUACGGGAGGCAGCAGUCGGGAAUUUUGGACAAUGGGCGAAAGCCUGAUCCAGCAAUGCCGCGUGUGUGAAGAAGGCCUUCGGGUUGUAAAGCACUUUUGUCCGGAAAGAAAUGGCUCUGGUUAAUACCUGGGGUCGAUGACGGUACCGGAAGAAUAAGGACCGGCUAACUACGUGCCAGCCGCCGCCGUAA